UAGGGAAUAUUAGUAAUGGGCGAAAGCCUGAACUAGCAACGCCGCGUGUGCGAAGAAGGCCUUCGGGUUGUAAAGCACUUUUUGAGAGGAUGAGGAAGGACGGUACUCUCAGAAUAAGUCUCGGCUAACUACGUGCCAGCAGCCGCGGUAACACGUAGGAGGCAAACGUUAUCCGGAUUUACUGGGCGUAAAGCGCGUGUAGGUGGUUUGGUAAGUAGGGCGUGAAAGCUCCUGGCUCAACUGGGAGAGGCCGUUCGAAACUGCCGAACUAGAGGAUGGUAGAGGGAGGUGGAAUUCCGGGUGUAGCGGUGGAAUGCGCAGAUAUCCGGAGGAACACCAGUGGCGAAAGCGGCCUCCUGGACUAUUCCUGACACUCAGACGCGAAAGCUAGGGUAGCAAACGG
rnacentral:rRNA from 1 species